rnacentral:rRNA from 1 species
UGGGGAAUAUUGCACAAUGGGCGCAAGCCUGAUGCAGCAACGCCGCGUGAGUGAUGAAGGCCUUCGGGUCGUAAAACUCUGUCCUAAGGGAAGAUAAUGACGGUACCUUAGGAGGAAGCCCCGGCUAACUACGUGCCAGCAGCCGCGGUAAUACGUAGGGGGCAAGCGUUAUCCGGAAUUACUGGGCGUAAAGGGUGCGUAGGUGGCCUGACAAGUCAGGGGUCAAAGGCAACGGCUCAACCGUUGUAAGCCCUUGAAACUGUCGGGCUUGAGUUCAGGAGAGGAAAGCGGAAUUCCUAGUGUAGCGGUGAAAUGCGUAGAUAUUAGGAGGAACACCAGUGGCGAAGGCGGCUUUCUGGACUGAUACUGACACUGAGGCACGAAAGCGUGGGGAGCAAAC